rnacentral:tRNA from 1 species
GGCAUGAUGGCAGAGUGGUCUAAUGCGUGUGACUAGAAUGUCUAGGUUAUCACAUCUCUUCGGAGGCCCAGGUUCAAAUCCUGGUCAUGUCG